UUCAUCUUCAGCCAUGGAGACAGUUCAUUGAACCUCAGCACCAAAGUUUAAAACAUUGAAAAACAAGAACAUCAGAAAGAGGGAUCCUUUGUAGGAAGAAGAGGGUUCUCUAGACCUGUUAGACAAUAGUAUUGACUCUCAGCAAACAGUUUUAAUAUUGGAGCAGGAGAUGGAGCUGUCCUUAUCGUGCCCUCUCUAACACACUUUCCUAGUUCCUAGUAAUAAUACUCUUAGUGUUUUCCUCUAAGAAUUAAUCCUUGAUUCUGCCC
rnacentral:lncRNA from 1 species